CCCUGAACAAAUCAUUCCCUAGGGAUGCACUUAACUGCGGCAAAUAUUGCCACCAGGGUUCACCAGAUUUCAUGUCUUUCCUGCAAACUAGAAUAGAAACAUACCAUUCGACAUAUCAUAAACAUGUUCAAAUUACCUCCAGGCACCCACAAAAUUGCAAGUUAACAGGUUUUGCAAUGCAGUUUAACCUUGCAUCCCAGUCCGCUGAAGUAGAUUUUCAAACAAGUGUCAAAACAUUAUUAAAGC
rnacentral:misc_RNA from 1 species